ensembl:miRNA
CACUCUAAGGUUCCCAGAUCUCGCUGGGGCCUCCAAAUGUUGUAGAGUGCCACCAAAUAAAUGACCACCAAAGCCAGAUUAAGUUUAAAGGGAGUCUUUAUUAG